rnacentral:lncRNA from 1 species
CUCGACAUUGUAAACAGGUCUCAAAAGUUCAAUUUUGCAAAGCAAAACAGUUCAAAAUUAAGCUGGUUUUAACAGCAAAGCAAAUUAGAAAACAACAUUCAUCCUAAGAUUAGUCAAAUACAACUCCCUUUCUCAUAUAGAUGCAGACAUACAUACAUUGGUACACUCCUUCAUAUUAUUUAUUUCUCAUAUAAUUUGGCUAAAGCAUAAAAUAGAAAGACCAUCGCAGCAUAAGUAAUAUCCCGUCUUUAGCUUGGGAAACUUGAUGCAAGUCAAGACAGAAAUGCUUAUGCAUCGGUUCUUUCUGCAGAAUGGCUUGAAUCUCCCACUUGCAUCUCUGUUCAAGUUCAUAUAAAAUUCAGUUCUAAUAUGCACAAUUGAGCAUUCCAGUAUUCUUAAUUAAAGAGAUGAGCAUUUGACAAAUAAAUAGAUGCAUUAGUUAGCACUACAAGAUAGUCCACUUACUGAAGGGCAUGAGUAUUUGUGUGGGAUUCGAACUACUAACUAUUGAUUUCACAACAACAAUCUGAAAUAAUAUUAGCAAAAGGUGUCAAAUAAGUAUGAAAUUUUGAAAUACAUAAACUUAAGAGCCUGAUAAGACAAAAUUCUCAUGCUUACUUGCAAGGUGUUUGGUAAGAUCAAAUUAAGCACUAAAAAAACCCUACUAAAAGUAGAAUCCAAUGCCACUAACAAAAGUGUCAAAACCCAAACCAUUACAGUUUACAAGCAACAUAUUACUCACUUCUGCAAUUAUCCAAGUUGAGAAGAAUAGUUAAAGCUGGAUUUGGUAUCAAAAUAUUAUCCAAUUAUUAACCAAAUGCUUUAAAACUGAAGAAUAAUUGCUCCAUCUUUGGUUUCUCUUGCUUCCAUGUAAACCUAUGAUACAUAAAGCCUUGGAAGACAGUUCAGCAAUUUAAAUAAAAUCUGGAAAAAACACAAAUAAAAUAGAAGCAAAAAAGCACAAUCUGUGCAACUAAAGGAAUAACCAGUCCUGCAAAAGCGACAAUGAUAAAUUUUUCAGUAGUUCAUCUGAGUCCCCGUACAUCUCAGAACUUGUGCAACAAAAUCCAACUUAGACAUUACUUGCUUUCCCUAAAUUGGAAAAAGGGGGAAAAGUGAAAGAGUUGGUCAUCGGAUGAGGUUACAACAUGAUUUUAGGUGUGAAAAUGAACAGUACUUUAAAAUACUUACUGCAGGAAUAUCGAUGGUUGUUAGCGCCAUCUCCUAAGGCGUAGAGAAAAUUUUCCUAAUAGAGAUCUCGUCAAACACUUUUAUGAUCAACAGCGAUAACCCCUAAUAUUACAAACCGAUAGAAAGAGAAAUGGAUUGUAUCUUAAAUAAUAUGAUGGGCUAUUAUACUUCAUUGGUGGUGCGGAAGAUCUACAAACAUGAGGUUACCAACUAUAUUCAAUUUUCAGUUUCUCAACACAAGUUUAUGUAGAGUUGAUUGUUCUUUUCCUAUGAUUAUAUUCUCAUAAAUUAUCUUAAAAUCCUCCACUUCAGAGUAUCAUCUAUCUGCGAUGCGUCAUCAUUCCUCAUGUUCUUUUAAUAUAAUUGAAAUUAACCUGCUUUUUUCUAAUUUUCACUUAUUAAGGCUCUAGAGAAAUUAAACCCUUCGUUUCUAAAGUACCAUAUGAGCUGGCAAGUAGUACUAUAUUUUCACCGACUGACCAAAGCAAUAAUUCCUAAACAGACUGAAGGCACCUAACAAAUAACAAACUCAACUUACUCCAGAUUAUUACUUCUGUAAUGUACCAGUAUUUUUUUUUUUUGAAAUGGUGAGUAAGUUAUAUAUUAAAUAGAGGAAUAUCUUAGCAGUAAUGUACCAAUAUCUUCUAAAGAAUCAAAGUAGAGCGAAAAGGAUCUGAGUAGAGAGCUAUAAAAUUUGAUAAAAGGCCAUAUGUCCAUGAGAGAGGAUGAACUUCUAAAACUGUUUUAGGUUACUGUAUCUCAAAUGUUCAAGAAAAGUUGAUCAAUAAAAAAUAUGUCGGGUUCUCUUCCUUUGGAAGGGAAAGGAUGGUAAAAAAUAUUUGGUACUGCUUGUGCUUAGAAAUUAAAAAACUUGUAACACGACAUCUCUAAAUCCUAUGAUCCCACUCUAUCCUCCUCACUCACCCCAUUCAAUCAAAACUACCAACUCAACUAUGGAAACUCCUGAAAGACCAAAAGGAGAAUUCUAAAACAGAUAUAGCAUAUAAUUUCAUUGCUCAUACUUGAAAUUUAAUGGCUGUAAGCCAAAGAAACUACUGCUACUUAUAGGAUUGACUAUGCGUAUUUACAUCCUGUCAAAUUUCAGAUGUAAAGCACCUGACCAUCUUUCAUUGUCGUCAAACCAAAUGGCCUUUCAUUAUGCUUUUUUAUAUACAUCCUUGAAAAUAUGAGUAACCAGGGACUUGUAUGUUUGAUAUAAUAAAAUACUUGCACUAUUCUUUUUGGACUCACUAUCUGCAUUUUCUUCCACCAUGUCACAUCAACAACGACAGUAUAACACUCAUAGUUGCUUACCUUGUUCGCCAGAGCUUUAAUUAUUAUGCACUCUUCACUCCAAUAAAAACCAAAUUUCAGCAGAUGAAACAUAGGAUCCAGCUAGCAAAGAAGUAUUAUAGUUGUGAAAGAGUUAAAGGAUGGUUCUAGAAGCAUGGAACUCGAAAAGUACUAAAGAGAAUUUGCCACAUCUCCAAGAAAAAUUAUGUCAUUAUUUAGAUUCCCUUAUCCUUAAAAAACAGUAGAAAACAGGAUCAUAUGAGAAGAACUUUAAUGACAAGGAAGUUAGAACUACACAACAUACAAUAUAGAGAGAGAUGGUAUCUUAUAUAUACAUAGAAUUGAUUUAGUAAAAACUAAUAGAUGAGGUUUACAGAUUAAUACUUUAACACUUGGUGUAUCUGCUUUGUAUUUGCUUAAAUGUUCUUGCUUUUAUCCUUUUUUCUCUUCUUUCUAUUCUUAUGUUUCUGCUGUCUUACGGCUACUUAAUCUUUUCUAUGCUCUCACCUUCAACUUCAAAGAAAGAACAUGUAAAUACCUACAAUCCCUAUAAGAAUGGAAAGCUAUUAAUCAAUGGCCUACACAACCUUGUACCAGUUCCUUCAGCUAAAGAAUCUGGUGCAAGAAUGGAAGCCUUCUAUUGGAAGAAUCAAUGUUAUUCUCGAUGUGCAUGACUUACAGUUCUAGCUUCAAUUGACUAUUAGUAUUCUGUAAAGCUUCUUCUGAAGGCAUCAGCCGACGAAGUAGAAAGAUGAGGACCAUGGAUUGUUAUCUGUAACAAAUAAAACAAAUACAUCAACAAAUGAAACAACAUAGAACAAUCAGAUGUGACAUCAUACACCAAUCAAAUGUGACAUUCAUAUACGAAACUAAACCAUGUAAGCUGCACAUGGAAAGUAAAUAUUCAUGAAAUACCAUUGUCCCGAAAAAACAUCUAGAAUUAGAAAAAAACAAGCAGAAAGAUACCAAACAACGUUAUAAUCCAAGCACGUUUUGUAGUUCAUAGUAUGUCACUUUUCUAAACAGAGAAUGAACUUCUUUAGCAUCGGAGCAUCUAAGUUUCAAACUGGAAUGAACAUCAACUAUGUACCUGUAAAAGAUUGAGAUUUGAAACCUACAAAAAGUACAAUAUUUAAAACUCAGUACAUAACCUUUUGACAAUACAGAUGAUAAUAGAAAUGAAUGAAAAGCAUCAUGCAGCCAAAGGUGAACUUCAGUAGACAUAAGUGGGUGUGUUAGUGGUACCCUAAUCAACUACUUAAUAUCAGUCACCACUCGCCAUGAUCUUAAAACUUGAUCAAGUGGAAAACUUGAAUGGUGAAGAAAGGCUAAGGGGCUAAAAUAGACACAAAGUUAACCUAAAAGAGAGACCAAGAUCAUGCUCACCUAGAAAGGUUCAAGGCUGCCGAAACCACUGGAAAUAAAAAUUAAAAUUAUGACAUGCAUAAACAAUUAGAAGCCCCAAAAAGUGCAUCAAAUAAAAACAUGAAUUAAACAAACAUGCAAGAAAAUUAAAAUUUACAUGAGAAAAUAAAAGCUCAAUUAGACCAGAUGGAGAAACAGAGCCUCUAGCAUAUCAUCAUAAAUUGUUCCCAAGGUUUUUUAUGUUUCCCAUAAAUGUCUUUGGUUGCAACAUUCUGUCCAUAUUGCACCUAAAUGGGUUUUUUUUCUGGGUAUUAUCAAAGAUCUUAUGCGGGUAAAAAUAGCAGAUAGCGAGGAAGAAUCACCAUAGUUCACAGAUACAAUGAUGUGAAUAAAUUACCCAGUAUACAAGAUACAAUGAUGUGAAUAAAUUACCCAGUAGAUUUACCAGAUAGAUAAAGAGUAACAAGAGCUCAUCUGAAAAGGUAAUACGGAAAAAAUAAGAGCGGUAUCCAAGGAUAGAAGCCAUGGUGAUUUGAAGAGAAAUCAGAAAAGCAAAUAACAGAGACUGAAUUGAAGGAAAAGAACGGUUAGGAAGAGAUUGUUGAGCGAAAGAGAAGGAAAAGCUAGUUUCGCCGUCAAAACAACCAAUGAACUGUUAGGGAACACCAAGAAUUUAGUCAGCCACAAUUUGGGUAAAUU